UACGCAGUCGUUUAAGGAUAUUGAUCUUUGAUCGCUCGGUUGUUUCUAGCAAUCGACCCGUUUAUAAGAUAAUUAUUGUUUAAGGCCAAUAUCUCGAAUCUCGAGUUCUUCCCGUCAAUCAAUCUAUUUAUAUUACUUAUUUUUCCAGUCACUCAUAUACCGAGAAAUUCUAAAUAUAUCCAACACGCGCAAGAAGAAUCACUCUGUGCAUUUUGAUCAUUUGAUUGAUUGAAACCCUAGUGUAUCUCUUAUUCUUCGAAGAGAAACGUAUAAAUCUUUAAGAAAUUUCAUUCGAUUCGAAACUUAUACGUAUUCUUCCCUUUUUCAAGGUUAGAAGAAACAAGUAGCAUGCCAUCACGUGUACCAGAGUCGAUGUAUAGAAACGUAAUCGGAGUGGAAUGGCAUUCAGUUGAAAUAUCGAUGCAUGAUUUACGUCAAGAAUGUCCGCCAACCAACCAAUUGAUACCAAUUCCGUCCGUUGUGCAAUUGGCGUCGCUUGACAUCACUUUAUUUAGACGCAUGCGCUAUUUAUCACGCUAAACAUCGUAUUCUGUGAACGGCCAUGUCGUGUAAAAGGUUGUGGAUCAAGGUAAUGAUGCUCACCAUCUAAUUCCCCGGAACUAUAUACAAUCAUUCUUUUUUUAUAUUAUAAUUCAUUGUUGUUAUAUUCAUGUUUAAUGAUCUCAGCAACUAUACGAGAGGAAGAAUUCGUCGCUUAUCGAAUUUUAGAGAAAAUGGAGGAUUUGCCACAUGACGAAUAUCGAUGACAAAAACACGUUCAUGAUUACGAUAAUGAAACAGACAUUCCCGAAUGCACGAGGUUAGCACAUGUAAAAUGUAAUAAAUUAUUGGACCACGAUAAACGAUCACAUCUCAACCCAAAAUCUCGUCGAAAUAAAUCAUGAACGAAAUUUGCAAAUAUGAUAUUGCUGAGUAAUCAGAAAUCUUUAUUUCGGGGUUAUCGAAAUCUGACAUUUUCUUUGAAACAGUAAACACUUAGAUUUGUCAAAGUCUCGAUUCUAGAUCUUUAAAAAUGAUCUACUAUUUUUAUAGUGUAUUUAUUAUAUAUUAUAUAUAUUAUAUAAUAAUAUAAUACAACAUAAAUUUUUCAAAUCUUGAUCCUCGUUUUUUUUGCUGAUCCUUAUUGAAGGUAAGAAUAAAACGAAAUUAGAAUUUUAUGUCUUUAACAAUUAUAUAUCAUGAUUUGAGUUCUGUGCUUAUAAUGAAUAAAUAUUAUAUUUAUUUCUAUUUCUAAUCUUUAUUUUUUUCUUUUUUUUCUUCUGCAAAUUUCUCUUGAGGAAAAUUGAACUGAACUAUAAAUACCAAGAAAAAUUACGAAGACGUUUCCUUAAAAACGACUGUAAUACAUCGUAAUUGGAAAUUUUUCUGAAAUAAGAAGAAGCAAGAAAAAGAAAAAGUAAUAUGAAAAAAAAUGAAUACUUUGAUAUUCCAUUGGAUAUAGGAAAUUGAUUAGAGCCAGAAUGACGUAUAUGCAUAUAGAUAAAUGUGUUACUUAAGAAAAACGCGCGUAAACUACGCGAGAUUCGCGUGAAAAAUCAUUCAUAAAUCAAAUAAUUUAAAUGAAAAACAUAAAAAUAAAGCAAAAAUGGAGAAAAAAAAAUUAGUCGACUGAACGAGUCAAUUAUAGAAAGAGAUAGAAGAUAGAGAUACAAAUAAAUUUCGUAGGAGGAAAGAGGGAACAGAGAAGCAAAUCCACGCUCAAUUUAGAUAACGUCUCAUUAUUACGUAUUUGUAAACUCUAUUUUUCAAUGUAGAUAAAUAUGCUCGAAGGUGUUAGCAAAAGAUCUUUACGAUUCUACAUUUAAAUUGCAUCUCGAAGUUUUCAAGAUUUUUUUCGAAUAAUCUUAAUAAAGCUUUUAUUAUCUUAACUAUUAGAAUUCUAAGUGAAAUAAUAAAUGAAUAUAUAUUUCACAAUGAUUAGAGUAAAUAGAUUAUUUGAUGAAUAUGAUAGUUUAAAGAUCUUUUUUUUAGACAAAUUAUUAUAUUAUUUUUUUCUAAAUUUCGAUAAUAGAGAAAUCUAAUAUUUUUAAUAUUCAUAAAUAUUUAGCAUUAAUUGAUUGUCCAUCUAGUAAAACAUAAGAAAGCAUCACAACUAACUCUAUUUUUUAAAUUUUAUACAAAAUUUUCUUUUAUUAGAAACUGAAUAUCUUUUUCUAUAUUUUAUUUAAAUAAUUUUUUAUAUCCUUGACAAAAUAUUACAAAAUUGCUCUGAAUUAUUCUUUUUGGUAUGAAUGGUAAGAUAUGAAUUAUUUAUAUCAAUUCAUAUUUUGUAAAAAUGUUAUGCAUAUAUAAGUUCAGCGAUAUUUAAAUGAAAUUAUUCAAUUAUGUCUUAGUAUAUUAUAAUCGUAAAUAUUUCAACUACACCUACCUUGCUUUAUUCUAUAAAAAUUCAUUAGAAAUCUUAUGAUCUCACUUGGAUCUUUCUUUGAUUUUCAGAUCUCUAAAGCUUAAGGAAAACAGUGAUAUAGUUUACCUGCACUUUAGUUGGGCAUUCUCUCCACGUCGAAUAGAGCCGAGUUCCAAACUGGAGUUGGAGGCGUCUGAAUCGCUGUGCACUGGGCUCGGUGGACCACCGUUCGUCAAACCAUCAGGCGACACUCCCAAACCCGGCAACGCGGUCGAUGGGGAAGUUCCGAGUUCUUCCUCGACCGGCAUGCUUCGCGGCCAAACCGGAAGGUCUAGCGGUGCUUGUUGAUGCAGGCUGAGACUCCCGUAGUAGUUGAUGUUUGGGCUAGUCGGGUAACCGGAAAUCGGGCUGUAAAAACCCGGUAUCGCUCCUAGCAACGUGCCAGGAUAACGAACGGAGCCGUACGCACCAACGUGGCUUGGCAUUCUACCCGGAACGUAAACGAUCAUUUUUAUUCUCUUUUUUUUGUAUUUUCUUUUUCGUUAAUCGAAUUCGAUCAGAGACGUGCAAACUUCCCCUUUAUAAAAUUUUUAGACUUUCAAUCAAAGAGAAUUUUGUAAAUGUAUGGUAUCGAUUCACUUCGGUAUGAAAAAUAUGAUAUACGAAUGGAUUUGGAAAGUUGACAAUAGGUAGACAAUAUUUUCGUUUAUUUCAAAUCAAUUUAAUCUUGCAUUUCAUCGGCUGCUAUAUAUCUAUCCGAUCGUGACUGAUUCGUAUCACUUCUUUAUAGAUUAAAAUUCGUUUUCUUCUUUCGCGAUUUUAUCGCGUUUUCGAAAGUGUUUCGAAAACGGCGGACGUCUCCUCGUUUCCUCAGACCGUAUCGAGGGUAGGAAACGAUCGACGCAUCGGUGAAAAUCACGAACAAGACUUUCCAGGUCUUGCCGGUCCCUUUCUCUGUGUUCGAACCCUCUAUCCGAAUUAUCCGUUCCCAACAAGUCGAACACGGCACAGUACGCUCACAUAUACACUCUCGCCGUAGCGCACACCCUUUUAUCGCACUUAGUCCGAGUCCGUAUCGUCAGAUGUACUUGAACCGAUUCGACUUGAGUAUACGGUAGCUCAGGAAUUGUUUGCUGUACUCGAUCGAGAACAUAACUAGGCUGGCCCGCAACAGAUUCAUCAAACGUGGGUAUUCUCUCUUCACGGUGGCCGUCGUCUUUCUAGAACGAUAUUUCAAAUCCGAUCCGCAAUUCCGAUCGAGCUUCGUGGCGCGUGGAAAAACACAGCAAAUGUUUCGUGGAGAGAGCGUUCGGUUUACUACCGACGCUAGAACACCGUCGCCUUCAUCUUUUAGUUUCUUUCUAUUAUCCCUCUGUUUUGAUCCGUGUAUAUAUAAAUUGUAAUUCUAAAGCUUAGCUUUCCUUAUUCUUAUCUUUCAGCAAAUAUCUUGGAGCGUGAUGCGCCGAUGAUCGGAGUUGUAUGGGGAUGAUGAUGAAUCGCGUACCACGGUAGUCAAGACGUGUAUCGAUGAUACUCGAAAAAGAAGACGGAGGGCAGAGAGAGAAAAAAAGAAAGACACGAUAGAAAAUGUGUAUUAAGAAGAAAAGACCGCGACGAAUAUCGAACUAAUGUCAACGACGAACGGACAGCUUUAUAUAUAGCCGCGCUAUCGUUGUCGAUAACGCCCCAUACCCCUCUUUCUUCUCACACUAAUACACCAACGAUGAUAACAGACGACAGUAAUCUUCUCGCUCCUUGUAAACGUCUUCGCAUAUGGAUACGUCAGUGGACGAAUGAGCUUGAAACGAGACCUACCGAUCUUUUCAAAAAUGAAGAAUUAUAGAAAUGGAAAGUGGAACAAGUUUGACAAUAAUUGUUUUAAUGAUUGUAAUAAAAAUUUAAUUGCGAUAAAUAUAUAUUAAAUUUGUUUGGUAAUUAUAAGUAGAUUAAUAAUCGUUUAUAGUUAAUCGAUUGCUUGUGAUAUAUUGAGAAAGGUAAUAAUUUUAAAGAAAUUUUAAGAAGAAAUUUAAAGAAAUGUGUAAUAGAAAAGCUUGUGAUGUAAGGAUUCUAUAUAAAAAAUUGUUAUAAAAUUAUUAAACUUAAUGCUGAAUAUCAUUAUUAUCAUUUUCAAAAUAGUCUUUGGAAUCUUAAAAAGCUAAACCAUCAAGUUUAUUAGUGCCUUGUUUUGUUUCAAAACAAUCUUGAAAAUACUUUUGUAGAAUGGGUUUUAAAGCUGCAAAAAUACUUUUAAAAAUAUUUUGUAUUUUUUUUAAAAUCAUAGUUACUCUUGAUUAAUAUCACUAAAAUGAAAAUUCUUUUUUUCCAAAAGAACUUUGGACUAGUAAAAAAAAUAAUUGUAUUACAAUAUUCAUUAUAAUUUUUUUUUGUUUUUAAAAAUAAAGAAAAUAUUCAGAGAAAAAUAUUUUAAUUACAUUAAUGACAUCAAAAAUAAUAUGACUUUGAAGACAAUAUAAAAUAUUUUCAAAAUUAUUUUGGAAAAUGAAGAGCAUAUCAAGUAGUUUUUCAGAGAAGAAUAUUUUGAAGAUAUUAUAUAUCGUUACAUAUUUACCUAUAUGUAAUUACAAGUAUAUAUACUUGUACUAUAAUAAAUUUUAUUAUCAGAUAUCAAAUUAAUUUCUAUUAGGAAACUAAUUAUAAUUAAUUAUUAUAAAAUAAUAAAUUAAUUCUAUUAAGAUAAAUUAAUUCUAUUACGUUUUGAAACGUAACUGAGUAUUAUAAUAUUCGUAAAAAGUACUCUUGAUACGUUUAGUUCAAAUGGUCAAUUUUGUUUAUAUUACAUUAGUUCAAAGGGCAAUCAUAUAAAAAUUGAGAAGAUAUAUAUUCAGUUAAUAUAUUCGUUACGACGUAGAUUUUUAUUUUUCUAUUGUAUACAUACAUGAAAUUUUUAUAUUUAACAAAAAUACUUCUAUAUAACAUAACUUUAUAAUAAUUACCAACUUAAUCUUCUUAUUCAUAUAUUUUAAAAUUACAUAAAUUUUCAUGAUACAUCAUAAUUUUUAAAAAAAAUUUUAUUUACUUAAAACAUUAUCAAUAUAUUUUAAUAUUUUUUAUAAUUUUUCUAUUUAAAAAAAAAUCACUAAAUAAUAAGACAUUUAUAAUAUUAAUAAAAAAUCAACACUUCAAUCUAGCUAAUGUUACAGAAAUGUAAUUAGUGAUUUUUAUUUGUUUUGCAUUGAUUGAUUAUUUUAAAUAUUACACAAUUUUAUAUUUGUUAAAAUUGUAAUAAAAUUUUCGCGAUACAUUGGUUGGGAAUCACUGCUGUAAUCUAUAUUUAAAACGUAAUAGUUUUGAAUAUGUAAGAAAUUGGACAAAAUAUUUUCCAUAUAUCAUUAAAUGUUAUUUAAUGCAUAAUAGAAAAAAAAUUAUAUUAUUUCCAUUUUAAAAUAAAAAAAAAAAAGAUAUUCUUUUUUAUAAAUCAAAAAUAUAUGUCCACUUAUAUAUCAGAUCGAUAAAAAGUGUAUAAUAUAUUCUUUGAUGUCAUAGAAUUUUAAUUCAUUUUAAUUCAUUUUAAUUUAUUUCUGUAUAUUAUCAAAUAAAAAAUCAAAAAUCUUUAUUGUAUAAGAAAAGUGAUGAAAGAAAUCGUCAAUCUUCUCGAAUUUCCUACCGUCAAUAUCUCAACAUCGAUACAACGCAUUAGCUCGAUUAUUCAAACCACGCCAGGCGCCACGUCGAGUUGCCAGUAGCGACUUCUGAAUGCAUCUGUAGCUGAUCGAAACAAAAAUCGAAAAGGGUCCUCUUGUCCAUGAUCCAACCGAAGAAAAAGAACAAUAAAGAGGUCACGAUCUCGACAGAUACGAAACGAAUAGGUAUCCCUUUUGGCCGAGUGCCAUGACACGUCGAAUUUAGGAACAAGGCUAUUCCUGUGUUAAUCCUUUUUUAAGCCCCCCCUGCAACGAACAUUCCCUCGCUAAACCGAGGAGAACAAAGUCCUACAUAUCUUCGAGAAGUAGGCGCAUGUUAUCGCCACUUGCAUUAACGCGUUGGCGCGAAUGGACGCUUGCAAGCUGAGUCAAUAGACUACACGACUUAACUAAUUCUUUUCCAUAAGGUAAAAUUUCAACGUAGUAAGGAACACGCGUUCGCACCGUGGGUGGGCGCCCUCUCGCGUUCGUGCUUCGAAAUCUCGUUGAAUUAAAGUUCUAAUGAUUAUGAUCGAAAAAAUGUGACAUAUUCGGAAUAAUAAUAACCAUCAUCAAUAAACUAAUCGAGAUUCGACUAAUUGAUAAUUGUUUAUUUGAUUCUUAUCUUGAUAAAAAUUAGUAAAAUUAACAAAGAGGAACAAAUAAUCAAAAUCCUCUCCAUCGUUUUCGAAAAAGAUGGUAUUUCUUCGGGACAUAGAGCAGAUGUACACCAACCAACCGUGAACAUUACGAUAAAUGGUCUAUUCUUUGCGAAAUGAAAAAUCAAACGGGACUUAUUCCUCAGGCUACGACCUUUUGCGAACAAAACUAAGAAAAUAGAGAAGAUUUAUAAUCUUUCGAAAGAAGAAUAUUAUGUUCCGUGAAAAGGUUUUCACCAUUUUCACCAUUUUCACUAUUUUCACCAUUUUCACCAUUUUAUACCAUUUUUUUUGAAGAUAAUUUUUUGAUUAAUUUCAAUUUUUUUUUAUAUUUCCAAGAUUAGUGCAUAUGUACUUUCUAAUCAAAAGAUUUUCCACAAUUAUCAACUCAAGAUUAUUGACGUUUUCACAUCGCAUAGCAAUCUAAUCUUGAAUCGUAGGUCAGAAUUUUUUUCAUACGUGUCAAUAAACGUAUCAAGAUCCACUUUCAAGAUCCACCUGUUAUUAUCAAAGCCAGUAUUUCUCAAUUAUUUUCCCGCUUUUUCCAUUAGGUAAUCUAUAUUUUUUUCAUUUUAAUGUGCAAUAUAAUAUAUCAGAGAAUUGAUAAUUUCAUUGGAUUCUUGCACAAUAUCAAUAAAUUAACACUAUAAGAAAAAAAUUAUGGAUUAAUUUUUCAUUAUUUUACAAUUUUAAAUUAAACAGUAUGAAUAAUCAUACUUAUAAUUUGUCAAAUUUAUUUGUAAAAUAUUAUUAUUUUUCAUUUACUUGUAAAAUUUCAUUUCUUUCAUUAAAUGAUAAGACAUGGAGAUGGUCCUCGUACUAUUAACCAUUAAGAGAUAUAAAUAUUGAUCAUGUUUGUAUAUUAUACCAUUCGGAUGUUAUUAUUAUGUAUCAUUAUCGAUAUUGCCGAUACAACGUAAUGAAAAAAUUGUAUGUUUUUAUUCAAUGGCCUUUACUUGCAUUGAUAUAAACAUAAUAUAAACAUAAAUAGAAAUAGCAAAUAUUAUUUCGAUUACGAGACUAAAUGGAAACAAAACAGUUGGUGUUAAGUGCAUACCCAAUUGAAAUUUGAAAUUGAAAUGAAUUUUCAAAUCUAAUUUUCUCCAAAAAAUACAAUCUUAUAUUCUACUACUAUUUACAAAAUUAAAAAUUAUUAUUAUUAUUAUUAUUUAUUGCAUAAAUUAUUGAAUCUUAAAUUUUAUAUUUUGAGUUCACAGACUUUCUUAUCUUAUGACAUCAAUCAAAUUUUAAUUUAAUCACCUGUACUCCUAUAUGAAAAUAUAUCAACGUGUUUUCCUUUUUUCAAGAAACACAUGAUCGUUUCGUUUCAUGAAUUAUUCCCGUUUAACCUCUUUUAUGACGCAAGAAGCCAUAUUGUACGCGUAUGAUGGAAACGAUAAUCUCUCGAGGAGAGAUUAAGGAACGAUCAAAGAAACAUUAGAGGAUUGGCAUAAUAAGGAGACAAGAAAAAGACAAAGAAUGGUUCACGAUAUCCUGGUGGCGACACAACAGAUGCCAGACGGAAGAUAGACAUUGAAGAAAAAAAAAGAAAGAAAAAAAGAAUUAAGGAUUUCCCGGGGAACACAGGCUGCUAUUGUCUCCUGAUCUUAACUCGAAAAUGAUCGGUACCUGAUCCCAACUUUCAACCAAUCAUCGUCAAGAUCUUUGGUUAUUCAGUCGAUGUUUUAAAUGUUACUUUCUAUUUUUCCAUGUGACUUCGAACUUUGAAUUUUAAAUAUUCACUAAAAUAUAACGAAAUAUAAAAAAAAUUAUAAUAAUAAAUUAAAUUUAAUUUUAUAGGAAAAGGAUAAUGAAAAACGAGAUAUACAUAUAAUUGAUUUUGCAGAUAUCUUCAAAAUUACAUUUUAUUUUUUAUUUGUUUUAUAUUCAAAUUAAAUUAUUCUUAAGAAAGAAAAACGAAGAAUAUAUAAUUAUUUUUCAAAUAAUUUUCAAUAUCCAAUUAUAACAAAAGUAAUGAAAUAAGAAAUCAAGAAAAUCAUAUCAUUAUAUUGAUAUUUCAGGAAAUAUACAGAAGCAAUACGAGACAAAUUUAUAAAAAGUUGCAUUCUCUCCAUUUCGAAGAUCAAGCUAAAAAAUUCACAAGAACGAUUAGAUUAAUCUGUGCAACCGUGAUUCCUUGAAACACCCCCAGCGGCUCUACUCGAGGAUAUUAACGAUAAUACGGUACCAACUAUUCUCUCUUCCUCUCUCUUCCCCCUUCCAUCCACUGAAUUCCCCAUCCCCCUUCUCGCAUGACACCCCACGGACCGAACUGCCGGUGUCGGCAUGCUUUGAUCUCAAAGAACGCGGCGAACAGGUAGAAGAGACCGAGAAAAGGAUGGAGAAAGGAUGAAAAGGUUGGAGAAGAAAGACGGACGGUCAAAGACGAAGAUUCCACGAGGACCAAUGAGACCCGAACCCGACUCUAAACUCGAGAAAAUAUGUUCCGAGUUUUUAGAUUGAGAUCCGCCGGAGAUAGCCCUUUCCCUUGAUCCUUCCACACACACUCUCUCUCUCUCAUCUCUAUCUCUAUCUAUCUACUUAUUUCUCUCUCUCUUUCGAGCUCAUCUGGUCCUUGUCGCGCGGCUUACAUGGAACGCCGACAAGAGAUACCUCUACCCUUUGGCCCCACCGAGGAUCUUCGAUCUUUCAUUUAGAUUUGAUUUUGGUAUUCCACGAGCGAAGCAUCUUCGGAUUCGGAGGAAAUUUCCGAGAUCCCACUCGACAACGAAGAAAUAAUUUUCACCUAUUAAAGGGUUUUAUAUAAUUUAAAAAAAAUGUACAUGUUUUUUCUAUUUUAAGUAGAAAUUAUUAUAAGAAACGAUUAGUUUAGAAGCAAUCAUUCAACCAGCAAUGGUAUUCGAAUAAAAUAUAUCGUUAUAUGAAAAUAUUUAAUAACAUGCAGGCAAUGGAAAAUUACGUUUCUUCAUUCUUUAAUUGGUUAUAUUAAAAUUAUGAGAAUUGUUAGAAUAAAUUUCGAUUAUUUAAACGAUUAAUUAUGCGAAGCCAGAAUGAGUUAAGUAUUCAAACUAAUAAAUUAUAAAUUAUAUUUCUCUUAUUUUUUACGUCAACAAUUAUUCAAUUCCUGAUCGUAUUUACAAAUUUUCUUCUUUCAGAUCGAUCAUCGCUUAUCCAAUUAUAUAAUUUGUCCUCCAAGAUUCAGAUAUUCGACAUUCCAAGGAAUUAAUCACUGGUAAGAAAGAAUUUUUUCCACGCUCCCUUAAAAAUUUAAUUCCCAAACGGAUCAAAGAUUUCAUCCAGCCUCUCUCUUAAUUUAUGGGAGGUGACGAGCUUCGAAGUUCACGGACCUCCAAGCAAGAAUUUACACGGCACCCGUGUGCGUUUCGACUUGCACCGAGGCAAUGAAACACAGCAUAUAUAGAACGCGUGGCACUUUGCGUGUGGCUGCCAUUACAGAAAUACCCUGUGAACAGAGCAGGGUGCAGGGUAUCGGUCUCUCGCGAGGACCGAGUAUAGGGUCUUCGCAGUCGGCCUCGCAGCGGGGGUUGAAAUUCCCUGGUGGCUCGCCUCGCGGUACCGCGUCGUCUAACGUAGACGUCCUCGGCGCACAUUUUUAUUCGAUCGCGCUGUUGGGGGUUACCAGUCAGCCGUGGUUCUGCUCUUUUUUCACCGAUACCCGCGCGAGCCUCGAGUGCCGUGAGAGAGGAAGACCGUGGCCUCUUGUCUCUCUGCGAAAACCCACGUGAAUUCCGUGAAACCCCCGCGGUUACCUUCGAUGACCCUCCAAAGCCGCUUCGAUCCCCGUUCGAUCGAUCUACCGCCAACUUUUGCACGUAAGUGCUUCCUAGCCGACGAUCCUUUCCCACAAUUCUCACGAGGAGUGACCAAUCUCCUCGUCCACGAAACCAGUCGACAACCUUUGUCUCACGGGGCAAGAGAGCUUGGACCACCUAAUUCGAGUGCAACCACCGGAUCCGUCUACUUAUUAAGCAAACUGGAACAACCCAUCGUCGACGGUUUCGUCUGAAUGGCGAAAGACCCUCUUUCUCCAACAGCGGAUUAUUCCUCCGAGCUUUUCUCAAACGCAAGAGGGAGGGCGUUCCCGGCGUCUCGGUCAGGUAGUCGAACCAAUUAGAAUAAUUGUCGUCCCUCGAACGAUCUGGUUGUUCGAGGAUCGCGUCACUCACACGGAAUCCUCGAAAUCCAAUGGUUGAGUGAGUGGUGUGAGGCCGCGGUGUGGUGACCUUGCGGGGUAACACGAGAGCGGCGACGAGGACGCCGCUGGGGAUGAACGACGUAUCCUUCGGUGAUUUAUCACGUUUCAGGAUGGAAUAUUAAUAUCGGUAUGGCGUGCGCCUCCGGUCCUUUUCCAGGCAUCACGAUCGUCCACGGCCGCGCACACCGAGUCGCACGACGACCGUGGUGUGUACGUGUGCACACGUCUCUCUGGAUCACGAUGCACACGCGCGUGCGCACACAUAUAAACCCAUAGGUAUUACGAACGGGACAGAGGAUAGCUACCGGUCACAGCAGGAGAGCACGCCGGGGGUCCUCUACCUCUCCGCCGACUUGAACCUCGCUACCGAGAAAGAAGCGAACUUUCGUUUUAUCUUCUCUUUUCUUUUUCCUCUCCAGCCUCGCCGGCCUCUUCCUCCUCCGCGGUUAUCCUUUGUUCAUCUUCUUCCAUUGCGGCUUCUUCCUCGUCUCGCUUCGUGUUUCUUCGGCUCCCUUCGUGGCGACGUGACGGCGCUACUGUCUGCUGAUUCGUCGAGCCCGCGCGGUCACGUGACCACUUUAUAAAGAACGCGGCACCGCUCACCGCUUCACUUGCCCGCUGCGCUUCCUUUCGCGAGGCUCCUCUGUGCUCCUCCUCCAUUCUACGUUUGUAUUCGAUGUUAUUGUAACGAUUAUUAAACGUUAUUGGAGUGUCCAUUAAGAUAUGCUAAUUCUUCAGGUUUUUAAAAUAAUUUAAAUAAUCAAUUUAAUUGAUCUAUUUCUAUUGAAAAUUUUAUUUUGAAGAAUUGAAAAAAUUGAGAAAAAAUAAUUAUUUGAAAUAAUAAUAAUAAAGUUUCAAAUGGAUAAAUUAUUUCGUUAUUUAUUUAUUUUAAAUAUGUUAAGAAAAAUAAUCGUCAAAAUUAUUCCAAAAGAAAAAAUACUCAAAAAUAAUUAAUUCAUUAAAUGAUUAUUUCAAAUAAUGUUACUUCAUACAUAAGCACAAAUCUCUUUGGGCUUGCAAAAUACGAAACAAUUGGUAACAUAUAACAUACGUUAAGUGCAAGGAAAAAAAUUUCCUCUCAAAUUUUCAUAAAUUAAUUGAUGUUGGUAAUAAAUUUAUAUUGAUAAUCUGAUCAGAUUCGAGCAAUUAGUAUACUAUUCCUUUCACAUCCAAGCAAAUGCCAGACAAAGAAUUGAAUCGUUAUAAAUGAUUAAUGAUUAAAGAUGUUCAUUUCUGUAUUUGUUACAUUUUAUUCUUAAUUUUUAAAACUAAUUUUAAAAUUAUAAACGUUUUAAUUCAGAAUUUCAUUUUUAGAAAAUUAUUGAAAAAAUGAUACAAGAGAAAUUUUCCAAUUGUAAAUUGCUUGAAAGAUCAUUCAACCAUAUAAGAAUUAUCAAGAAUUAUCAAUUAUUAUCAAUGUUUUUAUCUAACAAUUUCAUGUUUUCGAGCUCUGCCACCCAGCGAAGAGGAGUCGUAAAAGCAAUAACGUGAUUGCACCGUAUCUUAUCGCUUUCUCUAAAUUCAGCAAAGAUUACCACCAUGUAAUUGCGUCGAUUGAAAGAUAAGAGAACUUUAUUUUUUUCAAAAUGAUAUUUUUUUCUGUUGACUUAUGAUGAUGGAAUACGUGAUAACAAGUUGAGUAAAGCUCCGUUGGAUUCCACUCAAUACCUGAUGCAAACAUCGUUAUGCAGUGGACACGAAUCGUGAGAAAAACAAAUUAUUCAAGUAUGUGCAGAAGUUUUAGUAUAAUUAUUUUAAAUUCAAAUCUUUUAAGGUUUGAUAUUCAACUAUAUGAAAUGCUAUUUUUCGCGAUUAACAUAAUCUUAAAAAAAAAAAGCAAAUAGAAAGCAAAACAAGCAUUGAUAAAAAAAACUGUAUAUUUGACAUAUUCCAACAAAUAAAAAUACUGCUAAAGUAUGUCAUCAACUUUUUUUAUUUUUGAUAAGUUGUUGUCUUCUAUGUCAUUAUUGACUUUUUUUAAAAAUACUUUUGAAUUGCUCAACAAAUUAUCUUUUUAAACUCCUUUCGAAAAUUAGAGACCAAUAACUUGGAAGCAUUAUUAAAUGAAAAAUUUCAUCGCACACGAAAAAGAAAAUUGCAAAUGAAUUGAAAUUGUAAUUAAACGAUUAUAAAUAAUUUGGGCAAUAAAAUUUGGAAGAAAAAUCAUAAGCUUGUCAAGUCAUUCUGGUACACAAUAACGUUAAAAUUACGUACAUAAUUCAGUAAACUAUCUUUAAAUUGUGCUCGGAAGUUCUUAACACGUUAGUAUCAACAAGUUAUCAUAUAAUCAAACUGAUAAAAUAUUUAUUAGCCAUUCACAUAUAACACCUAUAACAUACAUAUAUGAAAAUGAUAUAAUUUUGUUACUUUUAAAGCAAUCAUUGUUUUAUUUUAUUUCAUAUUUCUAGAAUAAUUCAUUAUAUUUAAAUUACAAAACUAAAAUUAUAUACGUGAACUUAGAGAGACCUUUCAAAAUCAAAGCCUAAAAAUUACCCAAUCAGAUGAAUUGUUCAAUUAAUUUUCAUUCAAUUUAAACACGUCAAAUUUUCAAUAGAAUUUUCCCAAUUAUUAUUCUUUCCUAUGUUGCAUAUACAAAAUUUUCGAUUGAAUAUAUUUUUAUCGUAAACUGAUAAUCGUCUCAUUUCUGUAAUAAACCCACCUUUAGAUUUAUAUGAAUAAAGACACUUUUAAAGAUCCGUACACAAAUUCAAGAGUCUCUUCUUAAACCGCAUCUUCUCAAACCAACUUUCUGAUUAGUCACUGGAACUGACCUUUGCUCGAGCAAGUUUUUACGGAGGAACGAGUCCUUCAACCGUAAAUCAUCGUUCUUCACACAAUAAUGUAAAUAGAAUCGAUCCAAUUCGAUCAGAUUCGUUGAACUUUAACUUCAAUUUCUUCUCGCCAGAUAAGAAGAUAGACGCGAGAAAGCUUCAAAUGUUAUGCUUUAAUUCUUUUUAUCGUGCACACUCCAUUUGAACUUCUCGGAAAUCUCGUUGACCUUUCCAGAUCUCAGGUUAUUACGAGAUCGCAAGAAAUUGUGGGUGAUGUUCGCCGAGCAACUAUCUCGACCCUUUAUAGAAGUUCUCACGCGCGAUUUUGCGUUAAAUAUCGCGCGUGAACAUCACCUUUUCUCGACGAAGCUUUCAGAGUAAAACGAGAAUAUUUUUCAAUCAAUGGAGACCAACUUUUGAAAAUUUCCUCCUCGAGUAUUUUUCGUGAAUUGGCAUUAGAUUAGGUUAUUAGAAUAACCAUGAUCAAGUUUUCUUUUUGAUUACAGGAUGAAAAUAGAUAAAUAUUUUUUAUUUUUUCUGUAGAUGGAAAAUUACAUUUGAGAACUUUUCAUUAACGAAAAAUAGAGAGUUUUAUUCUCAAAUGUUUUAUUAUUGUGGAUCAAUCGCAGAUCGAAAGACUUGGAGCUUUGUCUUCCUUUGUCGUCAAGAUCGCAAAAAUAUCACGAUGCUAUACGUGACGAAUAUAGAUCGAUUCGACGCACGAUCGGAAUGUGUCACGAUCAAUAAACUCAAUUAAGAGGAGGCGAAGAAGAUCGAUGCCUCCAAGUCACGUGGAGAGGCAGAAGUAUCAAGAGAAUGUCAUUAAAUUUCUCUCUCGUUACGCAACAAGGAAAGAUCGUUCGCGCGCAAGAUAGAGGGCUCCACUGUCCACAAGAGGAAGAAGACGAAGAAGAAGAAGAAGAAGAAGCGUAGGGCCCCCGCGGCGGGAGGUUUUAAUCUUCAAUUCCGAAAAUCAACGUAAUGUAUUCCUCCCCUCGGCCUGUUCCCGACUUAGAACAGGAGGGAGAAGCAGGAGAGGGAGACGAGCGCAACCUGUAAUUUCAACGCGAGCGGACUAAGUCGUCUGGUAAUAUGGGAACCCAGAGCUGGUAUAACGGCUCAUUUCCAUAAUUCGUUCUUUAAGCAUCAUUUUUAAUAGGCCCCUGGCGCCGAGCCGAGAAGGCUUUCACUUCCCUCUCCCUCCCCCUCUUCCCAGCCGAGUCUUAAAGGCCCGACCACAGAUUCAUCGGCCGCUGAAGACCCCCACGGUGACUUCCUUCACCGUGUCGCUUCAAUUUCCGUUGCCCUUUAUUCCCGUUGACCCCGAUGACAUCUUCAUUCGCUUGUUUGCUCGAUGCCGAGCCGAGGCGCACCUUCACUAGGAAGUAGUAAAAGAUUCUCUGGCGUCGUAACGAUGCGAUCGGUUAACGGUGCCUCGCCGACGAUACGUUUCCUCGCGAUUUCCAGCCAUUUAACUUUCCAAUCGUUUCGACUCGCGCCGAGGUGAGCGAUCGUCGAAUGGAAAUUCAAUUAAACGAUCCGCGACGAAACGAUCGAUCAUGGGGGGAAUUGCGCAUUGAAAUCGGAUAAUUAAAAAAAUAUUUAUAAGGUGUACUCGGUUGAAAUGGAUAACACGUACACUUUUUCUUCAAAUUUAUUCAUUUUUUUUAACGCGACGCAACAACUCGUUAUGGAGAAAUCAACUCCAAAUUAUCAAUUACACCAGAGUUUAUUUCGUUAACGUCUUGUACGAUGUUUGUACAUUUUCUACGAGUAUUUUAGAAUAUUGUCAAGUAUACGGCGAUCCAGGGGAGGCCGAGAGUUUUACCUUGUCCGAGAGAACCUGAUGGGACCCCUUGGAUGGUUCACGAGGUCAAAAAUAAACAGGCGAAGUUUUACUUUCCUCAAACACGUUUCGUGAAGGCCCCUCCCCUCAGUGGCGUGGAUGCCACACCGAGCAUCGGGACGUCCUUCGGAACGUUUCUCGAUUUCUGGAAGUUGUUCAAAGUGUCUAUACCACUGUACUUGGGGUCCCGUGGUCGUUAACGACGAGAAUGAAUUAAUGGCAUCCCCCUCGAUCCGAUGUUUCUGAGAAUCUUUCUUCUCUUCGAUCGGCGAAGAAGACUAUACACAGUUUGCGGAUCUCCCGAAGGGUCUUUAAUCUCGCUGCUCAACCCGCCCCCCCGAGACCUGACAAUUAAUCACGAAUUUCACACCACGAUUCGAGCGUGGGGGAGAGAAAGAUUCUUGGGGAGAGGGGAGUAGUCUCGACUGGACCCAUCGAAUGAAUAGAACGCGCAUCGCAACGAGAGAGAGAGAGAGAGGAGGGGAAACGUUACGAGACAUGGAACAGAAACCGUGGAAGUUCGGUGUCGGUGAGACGAAUCGUUAAACUGGGCUGCAUUGACAAAUGAUUCGAACGGUUCGUGGCCACAGAAACCGUGAGGGACCUCCCACAUCGCGCGUGCACACGCCUCGCCCUCCCUUUCUGUGGUUCCUCCUUCCCUCUUUCUCCUCUUUUCUUUCCGCUAUUCAAGGUUACGGACGCGUCCCCGGAUGACACGGUCCUUUCGGAUUAAAAAUAGCAUCGCGAGGACCAACUCGGACUCCAAACUUUCGCUACUUCCCUUUAAGGGUCAUUUUUUCUUUUUUCUUUUUUUUUUGGGGGGGGAUAUCUGUGCGUUUGGGAUCUUGGACAUUUCUUUGGAGAUUAUUUGGUAGUAUUGGAACUCUUUAUACGAAAAUUCCUUAUCGAGUAGUAAAUAUCGAGUAUAAAUAAAUUUUCUAAUUCUACGUAAAACUGAUUUGAAUAACUGCAAAAAUUAUGAACGAUCAUGAAUUCUCAUGUUUAUUCGAUAGAAUUUCUUUUCACGGAUUGAAAAACGAAAUACGUUUCUAAAAUAAAGUAAUAUUUAAUCUCGUUUGUAACGGAGUUUCAAUAGGUUAUCCGUAAUAUUCUUAUCUCUUGCUUAAUUAUCUUCUAUCAGCAAUGCCAGACAAAUUAAAAUGACCCUACAAUCUUUUCAAAAAUUACGUUCAGACAUUUUCACUUAUUAUUAAUCUCGAAAGUGUUGAGCAAUAAAAGAAAUGUGAAUAUCAA